GCUGGGAGAUGAUGUGAACAAAAGGCCGAAUUGUAGCGCCCAGGCAGAGUGUUCUCAGAGCGGCGCCCUGACAAAUACCCCAGAGCGUUCUCUGAUCCCAGC